UACGAAGGGGGCUAGCGUUGUUCGGAAUUACUGGGCGUAAAGGGCGCGUAGGCGGUCCUGAUCGUCGGAUGUGAAAGGCCUGGGCUCAACCUGGGAACUGCGUCCGAUACGGCAGGACUGGAGUGUGGGAGAGGUUGGUGGAAUUCCCAGUGUAGAGGUGAAAUUCGUAGAUAUUGGGAAGAACACCGGUGGCGAAGGCGGCCAACUGGACCACAACUGACGCUGAGGCGCGAAAGCGGGGGGAGCAAACAGG
rnacentral:rRNA from 1 species